GCCAGAAAUAGCUCAGUUGGGAGAGCGUUAGACCCCUGAACUAAAGGUCCCUGGUUCAAUCGGGUUUCGGCA